UACGGGGGGGGCAAGCGUUGUUCGGAAUUACUGGGCGUAAAGGGCUCGUAGGCGGCCAACUAAGUCAUACGUGAAAUCCCUCGGCUUAACCGGGGAACUGCGUCUGAUACUGGAUGGCUUGAGAUUGGGAGAGGGAUGCGGAAUUCCAGGUGUAGCGGUGAAAUGCGUAGAUAUCUGGAGGAACACCGGUGGCGAAGGCGGCAUUCUGGACCGAUAUUGACGCUGAGGAGCGAAAGCCAGGGGAGCAAACGGG
rnacentral:rRNA from 1 species